rnacentral:rRNA from 1 species
UACGUAGGGGGCAAGCGUUGUCCGGAUUUAUUGGGCGUAAAGAGCGUGUAGGCGGCCAGGUAGGUCUGCUGUGAAAACUCGAGGCUUAACCUCGAGCUGUCGGCGGAAACCAUCAGGCUAGAGUCCGGAAGAGGAGAAUGGAAUUCCCGGUGUAGCGGUGAAAUGCGCAGAUAUCGGGAAGAACACCAGUGGCGAAGGCGGUUACCUGGAGCUUUGCUGACGCUGAUGCGCGAAAGCGUGGGGAGCGAUCCGG